AUUGAACGCUGGCGGCAGGCCUAACACAUGCAAGUCGAACGAGUGGCGGACGGGUGAGUAAUGUCUGGGACACUGCCCGAUGGAGGGGGAUAACUACGGGAAACGGUAGCUAAUACCGCAUACCAUCGGAUGUGCCCAGAUGGGAUUAGCUUGCUGGUGGGGUAACGGCUCACCAAGGCGAAGAUCCCUAGCUGGUCUGAGAGGAGGAACAGCCACACUGGAACUGAGACACGGUCCAGACUCCUACGGUAGGCAGCAGUGGGGAAUAUUGCACAAUGGGCGCAAGCCUGAUGCAGCCAUGCCGCGUGUAUGAAGAAGGCCUUCGGGUUGUAAAGUACUUUCAGCGGGGAGGCGUUACCCGCAGAAUAAGCACCGGCUAACUCCGUGCCAGCAGCCGCGGUAAUUC
rnacentral:rRNA from 1 species